rnacentral:rRNA from 1 species
AUUGGCAGAGAGAGUUAAGAGGACGUGAACCGGUGAGGUGGAAACGGACAGAGUUGGCGUAUCUGGCCUGUAUUCAGCUGCGGACUCGUUGGCGUCAGGUUGUCGCUCUCCAAACUGGGACGGCUGCCUGUUUGGUGGUGGGUUUGGGGGGGAUUUUGCGGGGGAAGGGCCUUAAGGGCUUGGGGGAACGGCAUUAACUCCGUCUUUAAGGCCACCCCCCCCGGGGUCUGGUACCCCGGCCCCGGGGAAUGGUGGUUGGGGUGGGGGGAAAAAUACCGGAAUGGUCUCGGGGUUCCGGGGGUGCCAACUGGCACUUGGCGGCCGGCCCAUGGGACCCCGGGCCGUGGGCCCCUCCGCCCCGCUGAAGGCUCACAUUUUCCGGGCCUCCGGGGAAAAUCCGAUCAUCCUGUCCACCCCGCUUGAAACACGGACCAAGGGAGUUAACGUGGGCUCGAGUCAUUGGGGGUUGAAACCCCAAAGGGCAAUGAAAAUGAAGGGCUUCCUUGCGGAGCUUGAGGGUGAUCCCGGGCACCUGCGGGGAUCCAGGUGCAACCUUAUUCCCCCCUGACCGCUUGGCGGGGAGCGGACACACAACCGAACCCCUGAAACCCGAAAGAUUGUAAACUAUUCCUGAAAGGAUGAAGACAAUGGAAACUCUGGUGGAAACCCAAUCGAUUCUGAACGCAAAUCCAUCCUCUGACUUGGGUAUAUAGGGCUAAAACACUAAUUCAACCAUCUAGUAACUUGUUCCCUUUCCCAAA